CUGUCUGUCUGUCUACACACACACACACACACACAUCAUGCAUGCAGGAACGGAUUGCUCUGGAAAUUUGGCAAGAUCCUUUCAGUUUUGAACAUCUUGUCGUUGCUCAGGAGGCACAACGGCUUGGGCAAGUGACUCACGGGUUAGUUUCCAAAAGGCUGUGUCUCCUAUCAUGAUUGCUGUCUAGCACAGAAAGAAAUGGCGGGGGGAGCAGGGGAAAGGGAAAUGGCACUGCAUAAUCCAGCCAAUGUUCCAAAGAGCUGAAAGCGUUCCGGCAAAUAUGAGCAUUUUAAAGGAUGAGCCAUUAGGAGCAUUUUUCUGAGAUCUUUAUGGGAAUUAAAGGGACUAAUUGGAGAUACACACACACACACACACACACACACACACACACACACACCCUGCAAUCGUAAUCCAGCGCCAUGGGGAAUUCUCUUCUAAGCUUGAUCUCCAGCCAGCUCACUGAUAAAAAAAGGUGGAUGAGAAAUGCUGGGGGCCAUGUCCAAAUUUCUGCGGGCCCUCAGCACAUGAGUCUCCAUUGGCCCCAUCCUACCUGGGUGGGUCCCAAGAGUGCCACCAUAGGAACAUAGGAAGUGGCCUUAUUCUGAGUUGGACUCUUGGUCCAUCUAGCUCCGUGUUGUCUACGUUGACUGGCUGCAGCUCUCCAAGCUUUCAGGCCCUCCCCAGGGAUGCUACGGACUGAACCUUCUGCAUGCAAACUGGUGCUCUACCACUGAGCUACAGACUCAUCCUCAACAAAGGAAUCCUUCCCAGCCCUACCUGCCUGGGCCGCGAGCUGGUUCGAGCCACAAUGGGGGGGGGGAGUUUAAGGCCCCCCCAGUAAGUGUAAAGUGGCUAAAAAUCUUUUGAUGGGAUUUGUAUUGGUGUGCAAAACCAAACCAAACCAAAACAAAACAGGUGCCACCCAGGGGCGUAACUACCAUUAGGCAAGGAAAGGCAGUCGUCUUGGGGCCCCACUGCCUCAAGGCCCCCCCCAACGAGGCACGUCACAUGACUUCCCACCCGCCCAUGUUGCACCCCCUAUGAAUUAUGUUGAGUCUCUUGGAGAUUGGCAGGAGCAGAGAGUAAAGAAACUAGAUUCAAUGUGAACUAGAUAUUCACCAUAUUCAUAAUGGGGAUGUGAGUGUGAGUGCACUAUAUAUUGUGAAGUGUGUUUGUGUGUGUGUAUCAGCGAGGGGCCCAUUUUAAAAUCUUGUCUUUGGGCCCCCUCCAACCUUGCUACGCCCCUGAUCCCUGCUCCAGACGUUGCUGAACUACAGUUCCCAUCAUUCCCUGUUACAAUUUAUUGUGGCUGGGUAUGAUGGGAGUUAGGAACAUAGGAACAUAGAAAGCUGCCUUCUACACACACUGCCAGCAGCUUCUCCAAGGUAACAGGCAGGAAUCUCUCUCAGUCCUAUCUUGGAGAUGCUGCCAGGGAGGGAACUUGGAACCUUCUGCCUGCGAGCAUGCAGGUGCUCUUCCCAGAGCAGCCCCAUCCCCUAAUGGGAAUAUCAUACCGUGCGCAUACAUGUCUCCCAUUCAAAUGCAAACCAGGGCAGAUCCUGCUUAGCAAAGGGAACAAUUCAUGCUUGCUACCACAAGACCAGAAGCCACCAAAUGGUGCAGCGGGGAAAUGACUUGCCUAGGGACCAAGAGGUUGCAUUUCCGAAUCCCCGCUGGUAUGUUUCUCAGGCUAUGGGAAACACCUAUAUCAGGCAUCAGCGAUGUAGGAACAUGUUGAAAGGCAUCAUCUCAUACUGCACAGGAGGAAGGCAAUGGUAAACCCCUCCUGUAUUCAACCAAAGAAAACCACAUGGUUCUGUGGUUGCCAGGAGUUGACCCUGACUUAACAGCACACCUUUACCUUUUACCUUUACCACAAGGCCAGCUCUCCUCCAAUAUCGGGAGGAGCUGUCAUUCAGCAACAGUUGGGGAACCACAGCUUUGGAACCCCUGCCUUAGAUCAUCCCACCCUCUCACUCACUGCACGAACCAAGCAGAAAGGGGUCAUUGUUGCAGACCCAAUAUGAUUUUCUUUCUUUUUCAUGUUACCCAAUUCGAUGAGCUGCAUUUGCCAGGUGGCAAAUUUAUGCUGGUGGAGAGGUUGGUGGUCUUUCACCAAGACUGCUCGUUUCCACCGCAGAUCCCUUUGGCUUUCUUUCCUGUAUAUAAUCCAUCACCAUGGAGCUCGAGAGCCAUUUGGAGGGAGCGAUAAUCUUCCGUAUCACUGACCCUGGAGAUCUUUUGCCGCAAAAAGAGGGAGAUCAAAGGAGAACCCAGAGAGAGACUUUUUAAUCCUUCUAACUGCAAAGCUCAGCCUAAUCUUAACAGUUGGGGGGGGGGCAUUAGUGCUCCUCAAAAUCUGAUUUUUAACUUUGUUUAACACUCAUCAUCCGUUCCAUCCUGCUGCAAUCAUGUGGGAAGCCCGGAGGAUGAUCCGGCCCUAAUCGGUUGGGAUGGCAGUUCUCCAUACAAAUCUACGUGGCUUCUGCCAAUCUGGAGGAGAGGAUGAGCAGAAAAAGAGUGGGAAGAGAAGCGUGAGUUUUCUGACUCCACGAAUUGAAAAUGCAUAAUUUUGGAAGCUGUUGCCCAUUCUGAGAACUCCCAUCUCUGGCCGGUCCUUUCUACUUCACAUCUUGGCAAUACUCUUUUCGGGAAAGGCUUUUCUGAUUUCCACCUCUCGCUUGUCUGAACUCUUCUCAGCAAAGACCAGCACCUCUAACUAGGUAUCACUCCAGGCGGGUGUGCACACUCCCAGUUCCCAACCUUUUGCUGACAUGUUCCUGGCUAACUAACUUGCAGCCGUUCGUCUUGAACUACCCUCUGCACCACGAAGAGAGACAAUUUGAUGCGGGGAUGCCAUUUUCAUUGGCAGCCCUGCGUCUGUCACAGCCUGCAGUUUUGCCCUCACAGUAUUCUGACCCAAAGGGCAAGUACCACCUCAGAAGAAACGUUUCCUCCUGGGCAUCAGAGCCCAGUGAAUUUGCAACUAUGUACAUUAAGAAUAAGAAAGAAUUGGGUUUAAAAACAAACAAACAAACAAACAAACAAACAAACCAAAUCCACUGUCAAGCAGUGGUCUGAUUCAGAAGAUCCUGAGGAGGAACUGCCUGACCCACAGUCCCGAUAUGGUCCAGCUACAGGACACUGAGGAGGGAGCCUCAUGGACAGACAGCUCUAUUAUAGAGAGUUAUAUCAUAGAGUUCUAUUAUAGAACAGCAGGAGGUUGCUGGGGAUCCAUUGCCCUCUUCAGACGGGGAGGAGGCCCGACUAAGCAGCAGAGCAGUGAGCCAUGUGGAACGCCAAAGAGAACGCAGAAAGUAGCAGUGUUUUGUUGGCUGCAAAGUCUGACCAGGGAGGCUUCAGAAUCUGUAACUCCAAAGGCAGGUGGGGCCUUGUUGGCUUCACCUGGCCAUUGACCUUGAAGAGAUAUGAAUUCAGACCGCUCACUCUGUACCUCGCUGGUUCCAACUGGCCGCUUUGGUGUGCAGUUCCAGCCCUUUGCUUUGUGCACCUUGUUCCUGGUUGCUCCUGUGUUCUUGACCUACUGGCUAUUGGCUUCUGACUCUCUUCG